GGGUCUUGCCCCAAAGAGAUUAAUAAUUCAACAUCGAGGUCAUAAUCUUUUUCUUUUAUAAGAACUUUAAGAAAAAAUUGUGCUGUUAUCCCUACGGUAACUUAAUUGAUUCCCAGGUUGGGGAUAGAGAAAAACGAAAGAAAAAGAUUUAGUUUUUUACCGCCCCAGUUCAACAAAAGUAAAGUUCGAUAGGGUCUUGUCGUCCUUCUUUGUCAUACAAGUCUUUUUACUUGAAAGAAAAGUUUAAAUAGUUCGGGUAAUAAAGAAAUUUAUAUGUCAAACCUUUCAUACUGGCCUUCAAUUGAAAGGCAAAUGAUUACGCUACCUUAGCACAAGAAAAUUGCGGCUAUUUAAUAAAUCAUUGAGCAGGUCCUACUGAAUAUUAGGUCAUUCAGAAAUGUUUUUGAUAAACAGACAAUAAAUGUAGGGGCCGAGUUCAUAAACCUGAAUGUAGACUUAUCAAAAAAAGUGUGUCAAUAAGAGGAAGUUAGGAAAGUUUUACUAAUAAAAUCAUUGUGAAGAUUAUUAGGAAAGUUUCUUUUAAUGAUAUUUUCUAGAAAAAAUGGAAAAGUUUUUAAACUUGGAGGAUACUAUUAAUCCUAAUGUUUGGAGAGUGAUAGAAUGGCUGAUUUUUAAAAAAGUUUAUCCCUUUUUAAAUUUUGGUAUUGUUACCUUCAAAGAGAACCAGAUAUAAUAGAAUGCGGAUGGAAUUUCAUCUCUAUCUUCACUUUAGAAAACUUUAUGAAACAAGCUUGAUAAGUAGAAAUAGAUCAUUCAAUUUCGGGAGCAUUUAUUAAAAACAGAAGAUUGAUUUUCCCUGAUACUAAAGGUACAUUACUUUUCUGUUAGACAAUUGAGAAGUUUUCCCUUACGGUAAAAUAAGAUUAAGAUGAAAACUAAAAGAAUAAAAUAUUUAUUUAAAUAAUGAUACAAAGAAAGAGAU
rnacentral:rRNA from 1 species